rnacentral:rRNA from 1 species
UUGCCAGCCCGCUCAGAAACUUAAGGAAUUGACGGGGCCGCACAAGCGGUGGAGCAUGUGGUUUAAUUCGAUGCAACGCGAAGAACCUUACCUGGUCUUGACAUCCCGGAGACCCUUAGGAAACUAGGGGGUGCUUCCAUCUGGAAGAAUCUGGAGACAGGUGCUGCAUGGCUGUCGUCAGCUCGUGUCGUGAGAUGUUGGGUUAAGUCCCGCAACGAGCGCAACCCUUGCCUUUAGUUGCCAGCAGUUCGGCUGGGCACUCUAAAGGGACUGCCGGUGUUAAACCGGAGGAAGGUGGGGAUGACGUCAAGUCCUCAUGGCCUUUAUGACCAGGGCUACACACGUACUACAAUGGCCGAUACAAAGGGCAGCGACACUGCGAGGUGAAGCCAAUCCCGUAAAAUCGGUCUCAGUCCGGAUUGGAGUCUGCAACUCGACUCCAUGAAGUUGGAAUCGCUAGUAAUCGUGGAUCAGCAUGCCACGGUGAAUACGUUCCCGGGCCUU